UAUAUAUAUAUAUAUAUAUAUAUUGUAACAUGGCAGUGUUAUACCAUGUUAUUUAAUAUAUUCAAUACUAUAUAUUCAAUACUAUAUAUUCAGUAUACUGUUAUAAUUAUAAGAGGAAGACCUUAGGCAACCUUCCUCGCAUGAAUAAGCAAAUAUUUAGAGAGAUUAACGAACCACGGGAAACGCCUAGUACCACAAACCACGCAAACAGGACAUAGUUUUGUGGUUGAUAAACACUGCUAGAACUUGCUUUGACAAACAUAUUGCGUAGAGGAAAUUAGUCAUAGUUACAGAUUUCUUCCUCUAAAACUUAUUAUAAAAGCGGAGCACAACCUGAGAGUCGAGAGCGGAGAGUGAAGUGAGAAGAGCCAUUUAGGCUAAAUUACUUCAUAAGCCAACAAAGGCUGAAGUAUAUAAUUAAAAGGCUAGAUAAUUAAGCCUCGUCAAGUAAACUGAAGAACAUUGGAAUAUUGUGGAAAAAUUAUUAUUAAAGAAGACGGAAUACAAAGUAUAAAGAAUAAAGAUUCAAAGUUGUGCUCAGCUCAAACAAAUAGAGAGAUAAGUUGAUAUAUUAAGAUUACUAUAUUAUUAUAACAUAGAGACGCUAAUUCAUAUUGUUGAAAGUAAAUAAAAUAUAUAAAAGGUAUAAGGUUUCAUGCUAUUUGUGUUACGGUAGCGUUAAUAUAAUCACCCCGAAGCCUAAAGGUUGAAAAUAUACCUAAUUGGAAAAUAUAUUUGACGCAUAAAUAACGCACCAUAACAAUAUAUAUAUAUAUAUAUAUAUAUAUAUAUAUAUAUAUAUAUAUAUAUAUAUAUAUAUAUAUAUAUAUAUAUCACCCAAUUUUUAUGCACCACUUGAAAAUGCUGAAGAUGGAGAAGAUGCUGAAGACAGCUCAUAUCGUUCCCGAGGUAUCGGAAAUUUUGUAUUUUUGUGUCAUGACGUCACUAGUUGUAUGAAGAUUGCAGCGAAAGAACGAUCUGAUUUGGUCAUAGUGCAACUAUCUGAUUUGGUCAAAGUGCAACUAUCUGAUUUGGUCAUAGUGCAACUAUCUGAUUUGGUCAAAGUGCAACUUGUUAUAGCAACACACAAUUUACCAGGUCUUUCAUGUUUCGCUCGCUACUCUGGUUUAAAUAAACGGAUUACAAAGCCCAGUCGAAAUGUAAUCAAGACCCAACGUUUCGACACUCCAGUCUAGUGUCUUCAUCAGGGGUGAUCUAAAAUUGCAAUCGUGGCUUCUUAAAUCCCCAAGGGAUGACGUCACCUGCCAAUGAGAUGCAUGUAUUCCUCUGGCAAAUAGGCACCGUCGUCCCUAUUCAAAGCAUGAUGACUCAUAUUUAUAUGCCACACUUCUAGGCAAAGUCUUUGACCAUAGCGAUUGUUUGUGGUAAUUACUUUAGAGUUUUUCCACGCAAUCUCGUGUUUGGUGUAACAUACAUGUUCGGCUAAAGCUGCUUUUCCCUUGUCUAAAGUUGAAACAGCCUUUUGAUGUUCUUUUAUAGCCGUGUACCAAAUUGGCGUUUAGACUGACCCAAAUACUCUUUCUCGCAGUCACCGCAUGGUAUAGAAUAUACAGCAUGAGUUUUCUGAUUUGUUUUAACAGGAUUUUUUGGCUUUGCGAAAAUAUGGCCUAUAUAGAGUCAAAUAGGGUUUUAAGGCAACCUUAAUAUUACAAUCACUUAAGAUUCUCUUGAUUGGUUCUGUGACACCUUGAAUGUAUGGAACUAUUGCAUAAUAUGCAUCUCAUUGGCAGGUGACGUCAUCCCUUGGGUAUUUAAGAAGCCACGAUUGCAAUUUUAGAUGACCUCUGAUGAAGACACUAGACUGGAGUGUCGAAACGUUGGGUCUUGAUUACAAUUCGACUGGGCUUUGUAAUCUGUUUAUUUAAACCAGAGUAGGAUUUUUGUGAUUUUUAUUUAUUAAAAAGGGGGAAAGAAUUUCAACAAAAAAGAAAUUUUGAUUUUCGUUUAUUAAUAUCGCCUUUAAAUGAAUGAAAACUGUUUGUGAUGUCACUCUGGGUGUGCAUCCACACUGGGCAAGCUGUAAAGUUAGCUUGUCCACGGUGGGAAUCGAACCCGCGACCUUUGGGAUACUAGUCCAAUGCUCUGCCAACUGAGCUAUACGUGGUCAAGUCGGUUCGAGUUGAUGAUUGGACUAGUAUCCCAAAGGUCGCGGGUUCGAUUCCCACCGUGGCCAAGCUAACUUUUCAGCUUGCCCGGUGUGGAUGCACACUCAGAGUAACAUCACAAACAUCAUAUUCACCUGUCGGAGUACGUACCCUGAAUAAAAACUAUUGAAUAAAUGCCAUCCAUCAACUCAUUAAUAUUGUUUUAAUCAACAUAUUUUUAGGGUUGCUAAAAAAGAAAGAGCCUUAAACCUGGCCAAACCACUUGCAAUAUAAAGAAAGAAGGUUACUGGUUACAAGAAAGCUAUAAUCUCAAGUUUACAAUAAUUUCUUCAAAUGCAAAUUUAAUUGGGCAUUGAUCAAUAUGCAAAUUUAUUGAUAUAAUAAAGUAAGUUUAAUACCUAUAUCUAUAGAUGUCAAAUUGUAACCUAAACUCUAUAUAAUAACAGAUAUAUCUGGAACUGCCGAAUUAUUAUUAUACUUAAAAUUUAUACAUGCAAUAAUAGAACGAUAGGACUGAUAAGGCGCUCCUGGCCCAUUUUAUGAUUAUUAAAUAUGCCAAUUUUAUGCAUUGAUUGUUGUAAACUCAUGCAGUUUGGGAGGAUAAAAGAAAUAAAAAUAAAAUGACUCAUUCCAUC
rnacentral:tRNA from 1 species